AACGAACGCUGGCGGCGCGCCUAGUACAUGCAAGUCGAGCGAGAAGACGUAGCAAUACGUUUGUAAAGCGGCGAACGGGUGAGGAAUACAUGGGUAACCUACCCUCGAGUGGGGAAUAACUAGCCGAAAGGUUAGCUAAUACCGCGUACGCUCCUCGGACUUCGGUUCAGGGAGGAAAGCGAUACCGUGGGUAUCGCGCUCUUGGAUGGGCUCAUGUCCUAUCAGCUUGUUGGGAGGUAACGGCUCACCAAGGCUUCGACGGGUAGCUGGUCUGAGAGGACGAUCAGCCACACUGGCACUGCGACACGGGCCAGACUCCUACGGGAGGCAGCAGUAAGGAAUAUUGCGCAAUGGGCGAAAGCCUGACGCAGCGACGCCGCGUGGGGGAGUGAA
rnacentral:rRNA from 1 species